rnacentral:rRNA from 1 species
GACGUAGGGCGCGAGCGUUGUCCGGAUUUAUUGGGCGUAAAGAGCUCGUAGGCGGCUUGUCGCGUCGACUGUGAAAUCUCAGGGCUCAACUCUGACAUUGCAGUCGAUACGGGCAGGCUAGAGUUCGGUAGGGGAGGACUGGAAUUCCUGGUGUAGCGGUGAAAUGCGACGAUAUCAGGAGGAACAGCCGAUGGCGAAGG